rnacentral:rRNA from 1 species
UACGUAGGGUGCGAGCGUUGUCCGGAAUUACUGGGCGUAAAGAGCUCGUAGGUGGUUUGUCGCGUUGUUCGUGAAAACUCACAACUCAAUUGUGGGCGUGCGGGCGAUACGGGCAGACUGGAGUACUGCAGGGGAGACUGGAAUUCCUGGUGUAGCGGUGGAAUGCGCAGAUAUCAGGAGGAACACCGGUGGCGAAGGCGGGUCUCUGGGCAGUAACUGACUCUGAGGCGCGACAGCGUGGGGAGCAAACAGG